rnacentral:rRNA from 1 species
AACGUAGGUGGCGAGCGUUAUCCGGAAUUACUGGGCGUAAAGCGUGUGCAGGCGGGCUAGCAAGUGGUGUAUGAAAGCUCCCGGCUCAACCGGGAAGGGUUAUGCCAGACUGCUAGUCUUGAGUGCGAGAGAGGAGCGUGGAAUUCCGGGUGUAGCGGUGGAAUGCGUAGAGAUCCGGAAGAACACCGGUGGCGAAGGCGGUCUGCUGGGCAGUAGCUGACACUGAGGCGCGACAGCGUGGGGAGCAAACAGG